UACAGAGACUGCAAGCGUUAUUCGGAUUCACUGGGCGUAAAGGGUGCGCAGGCGGCCAAGUGUGUUAGGCGUGAAAGCCCGGGGCUUAACCCCGGAAUUGCACCUAAAACUACAUGGCUAGAGCAUUGGAGAGGGUAGCAGAAUUCACGGUGUAGCAGUGAAAUGCGUAGAUAUCGUGAGGAAUACCAGAGGCGAAGGCGGCUACCUGGACAAUUGCUGACGCUCAGGCACGAAAGCGUGGGGAGCAAAAGGG
rnacentral:rRNA from 1 species